UACGUAGGGGGCGAGCGUUGUCCGGAAUUAUUGGGCGUAAAGAGCGUGUAGGCGGCUCGGUAAGUCCGCCGUGAAAACCCAGGGCUCAACCCCGGGCUUGCGGUGGAUACUGUCGGGCUAGAGGAUGGUAGAGGCGAGUGGAAUUCCUGGUGUAGCGGUGAAAUGCGCAGAUAUCAGGAAGAACACCCAUGGCGAAGGCAGCUCUCUGGGACGGUACUGACGCUGAGACGCGAAAGCGUGGGGAGCAAAC
rnacentral:rRNA from 1 species